UUCCGGAACCGGGACGUGGCG
rnacentral:snRNA from 1 species